rnacentral:rRNA from 1 species
UGGGGAAUUUUGGACAAUGGGCGAAAGCCUGAUCCAGCCAUGCCGCGUGAGUGACGAAGGCCUUAGGGUUGUAAAACUCUUUCGUCGGGGACGAUAAUGACGGUACCCGAAGAAGAAGCUCCGGCUAACUUCGUGCCAGCAGUCGCGGUAAUACGAAGGGAGCUAGCGUUGUUCGGAAUCACUGGGCGUAAAGCGCACGUAGGCGGAUAGUUAAGUCAGGGGUGAAAUCCUGGGGCUCAACCCCAGAACUGCCUUUGAUACUGGCUGUCUCGAGGUCGAGAGAGGUUGGUGGAAUUCCUAGUGUAGAGGUGAAAUUCGUAGAUAUUAGGAAGAACACCAGUGGCGAAGGCGGCCAACUGGCUCGAUACUGACGCUGAGGUGCGAAAGCGUGGGGAGCAAACAGGAUUAGAUACCCCAGUAGUCCCUGAGCGGGCUGGCAAGGCGCAU